CACACCCCCUCCCCGAAACCAGCUUAGCCAUGUUUUAUUUUAAUACAGCGUGAAACGUUCCAAAUACACCAAAAGAAUACAGUAGGGUAGGAGCGCUUCAGCGGCCCUGAAUUCCUGGGAAUCCUCUCCUGCCUCUUUUCCCUCCUGUACCACGUGUGUAAGUAGCAGGUAGAGCGCUGCUCGCCUUUUCUGAAACGACAGGAACUGCACUUUAAUGUGCUUCUGCAGCUUGAGUUUUUCCCCCUGUAAUAUGAGAUACGCUCAUUUAAUUGUUUUUCUGCGGUUUGGUAUUCCAUGGCAGGAAUAAAGCAGGUUUAUUCAAUAGCGAGUGGGCAUGGAAGUUAGUAGCAGCAUUUUGCUAAUAACAGACGCACGCACUGCUGCCGGUUUCCUUUCCGGCAAGGUUUCCUUCCAGGCCUCGUUGCUCCAGGUCCUGCAAGCAGCUUUGCGGAGCAGCAGGGUUACAGGAGGAGCUAUGAAUAUUCAUGAAGCUGGUCCUGACGCAGGCCCUCUCAGUGAGCAAAGCAAGUAAUAUGUGACCCAUGUUCACUUUGGGGUGGAGUCUUAACAUUCACAAUCUUACGUCAGGGCCUUUAGGGCCAAAAGUCUUCAGGACAGAGGCAUGCAGGUGCGUCAUCUCUAUAAACCCGUCAGAGCCAGUCCAGGGUCGGUGGUCUCUUAUCAGGAGAAAGCCACUGCAGUCAGUCUCCUGUCCAAUCACAGCUGUCAAGGCUGCUGAAACAGGGUCAGUCAGUCAGCACCUCCUGGAGCUGCAGUUGUUUUAAUAUUGCUGAUCCCAAGGCCAGUGCUUCUGUGGCUGAUAGAGAAACACGAAAACCUUGUGGCAGUUAGAACAGUUUCUUCUCUAAGUGUGGGAUGCCUGACUGACGCUUGCCUUGCAAGGCUUCAGGUCCUGUUUAUUAACUCGGUAUCUUGUUGCCAGAGUCCAUUCUAUCAGUCUUAUGAUUUCUGUUUUAACAUGAAUGCGAGCCAGUUGUGUCCAAACUCCAAAAAGAAGGGCUAUACCCAGGUGUCUCCCAUCUCCCCUCCUGUCAUAUCUGGGAACUCAG